GAAAUCGAUAUUCUUCUAUUAGAGAUGGAAGCAGCCGUCGACAUCGUCCUGUUGAUAAAGAAGGCCUUCGUUUCUUUUGAACACCUGCUGCACGUGGAGCUUGUGAAAGACUCGCGAAACUAACCAGGCUGCAGUUGCAUGCAGAAACCACACGCAUACAAGAUUAUAUCAACUGUAUGGGUGUAUUUCUGUUCGGCUACAGUGGGCAGUCUUGCUUUAAGACGUCUGAUGCGUCUUGCUCUCCCACUCGCGAAGCGGUAUUGUCAUACACACAAGCACGCCUGCACUCACACAUGCGUGUGCACACCAAUCAGUACACUGGGAAGAGGAGAGACUUGUACUGAGUGGCUUCUCAAUGGGAGAGAAGAGCUGAGAGGAGAGAGGGACGGAGAGAGCGAGCACAUGAGAGAGAGAGGGAGGGAGAGAAGUGCCGUCGCAUGUGCAAGACCAAAAAGUGAAGAGCCAAAUUAGCUUCUUAUCCUUCAAAGAAGCUUCACCUUCAGAGAGAAGCGUGAGGAGGCUGAGAAACAGGAGGAAGACGUUGCUUCUCUGGUGAUUUAAAGGUGACAUGAGAAGCCUCUCGUCCCUCAAAUCCCAGCUAGUUUCUGACAGCGUUUCACAGCUGUGACGGGAGUUUCUGUUGUCGGGUGCCUGACUGUGUUCGGUGGAUUGCAUCCAGAAGGACUUACAACAAAAGAAGGGGACCAAGGGCAGGAGUGAGAACAAAAGUCUCCUCAUCCCCCCUCUGACCCGCAGAUCCAAACAGGAACUUUUGCUGUGAAGCUCUUUCUCGAGAGCAUGGAUGGAUUUAUGACUAUGUGCUAAGGAUAUUGGAUGCACAGCUGACGGGCUCGUUUCUUUAACGUUCUCCUCACAGUAUCUCACAGCCGGUGCUCCUGCCAUGUCCUGGAUCCUGUGUCUGUGGAUAAGUGUUAGCUGCUUACUGCUGUGCCAUGCCACUUUAUAUGAGACCAUCCAACAGCAUCAUGUGACCCGCCCGGGCCGCAACGCUAUACAGAUUCUGGAGGGAGGAACAUGUGAGGUCAUUGCAGCACACCGAUGUUGCAACAAGAACCGCAUUGAGGAGCGUUCCCAGACUGUCAAGUGCUCGUGUUUACCGGGAAAAGUGGCCGGAACAACACGGAACAAACCCUCUUGUGUAGACGCCUCCAUCGUGAUUGGGAAGUGGUGGUGUGAGAUGGAGCCGUGUCUGGAGGGAGAGGAGUGUAAGACACUACCAGACAACUCCGGCUGGAUGUGUUCCUCUGGGAACAAGAUCAAGACCACAAGGAACACCCAGCCAUAUUCAACUUUUUAGUUCUGAGGGCCACCGAAGCUGGCUUGCCAGAAGCUCAGUGGCAUCCUUCUCCUCAUCAAGAUUCAUCCCCGGACCUAACAAAGAGCUCCUUCACAGGCAGUGAAUGUGGAUUCUUACUGUCAGAAUGGACGAAACCAUUCAUUCCUAGAGGUGUUUGACUGGAUUACCUGUGAAUGAACAAUAAAAAAGGACAUUCUUGGGGAUAAAGACAAGAUUUGCUCAUUCGGUGCCAAGUAAUAUGACAAAUAGAAAUAAAGCAGGCUAAUCAUGUUUUUGAUCAAUAAGCCCAACACUGCAGACUCAACCUUGUCCAAUUCUCCCGAUUUUCUGCGUUUCUCCUCACCACCUUCCUCUGCUUCUAAACUGUACAGCUUAGGGGAGCCGUUUACUGGAUUUCAAAUUAUAUUUGAUAUAUUUGAAGACUUUAUGUCCCUAGGUAAACUGGACAAUCCUGAUAUAAGCUGUGAAUGACUGUAUGAAGGAUCAUGACGGAUAAGCACUGGUCUGUGAAAAUGAGGUGGAAAUCAAUAGGAGAUUAAUUUUUUUUCAUCCCGCUACCAGUUUGUUGUUCUGUGUCCACUCUGGCUUUGGUCAAAGACUAGGAGCUCAUGAAGCCCUGCUAUUUCCCUCCACUUCUGAGUUUUUCCGCUCACCGCUAGUGUCCACAUGCUGUCCAAUUGGGAGGUCCCCCAAGUCAAAGGUCACCUCACCUUCUACACCUACUUGGACCAGAUAUCUUUUUAUUUGUCGGCAUGCUCAGUGUAUUUUGUCGGAGCUUUGUAUUGAAAGUAACUGUAUAUAUUUCUGUAUAUAUACAUAUAGAUACAUAUUAAAAUACAUCAUAUGGCGAUCUAUCAUGCCCUAAACCUGUUCAGUGGUUUUGAAUUAAGACUGUAUUCAUGAUUUUGUUUCCUUGAACUACUGGAUUAAUCCCUAAUUUAAGGCUCUGUGAAAAUACAUAUUCUCUUGAUGUAA